rnacentral:tRNA from 1 species
AACGUUUACUGUGCAAAUCAGUUUAAUUUGAUAAUAUUUAUCUUACUAAUUUUUUUGUUUUUGUUUC